rnacentral:rRNA from 1 species
UGGGGAAUCUUCCGCAAUGGACGAAAGUCUGACGGAGCAACGCCGCGUGAGUGAAGAAGGUUUUCGGAUCGUAAAACUCUGUCUUUUGGGGCGAACGUGAGUAUGGUGAACAAUCAUAGUCAGUGACGGUACCAAAGGAGGAAGCCACGGCUAACUACGUGCCAGCAGCCGCGGUAAUACGUAGGUGGCAAGCGUUGUCCGGAAUUAUUGGGCGUAAAGAGCGCGUAGGCGGGAUAGUCAGUCUGUUGUAAAAGUGCGGGGCUCAACCCCGUGAUCGCAAUGGAAACAGCUAUUCUUGAGUGCAGGAGAGGAAAGUGGAAUUCCCAGUGUAGCGGUGAAAUGCGUAGAUAUUGGGAGGAACACCAGUGGCGAAGGCGACUUUCUGGACUGUGUCUGACGCUGAGGCGCGAAAGCCAGGGGAGCGAACGGGAUUAGAUACCCCGGUAGUCCUGGCCGUAAACGAUGGGUACUAGGUGUGGGAGGUAUCGACCCCUUCCGUGCCGGAGUUAACGCAAUAAGUACCCCGCCUGGGGAGUACGGUCGCAAGACUGAAACUCAAAGGAAUUGACGGGGUCAUAGCUGUUUCCU